AAUGCCAAAGUAAAAUGUCAAAUUAAUAUUUACAAUAAUUUUUCAAAGCUAUUAAUUUACAAGGUCCAGUUUUGGAUAACACAAAUAGUCCAAUUAUGAACCAAGAAGUUUUGUAGGAAAUAGAUGCCCAUAACAGAAAUACCAUUACUCCAACUAUUAUUCAAAACAAUUUUAGCAAUCAAAUGGUUCAAUAUAGCUUGAUUAAAUCAAAAUACAACAAAAAUAUUAUCUAUUCUAACAAAUAUUUAAUUCAAUUUAUACAUUAUCAUGCAAAAAAAAAG